rnacentral:snRNA from 1 species
AUUGUUUCUCGGCCUUUUGGCUAAGAUCAAGUGUAGUAUCUGCUCUUAUCAGUUUAAUCCAUACAUGAAAUAUUUUACUGAAUGGGAAUCAGAUUUUGUAAAUGGAACUUAUUCUUUUUUAUUAUUUUUUUUUAAUGUUUAUUUUGGAAGAGAAAGAGACGGCAUGAGCAGGGGUGGGGCAGAGAGAGAAUAUGAAGUGGGCUCAAACCCAUCAUGACCU